rnacentral:sRNA from 4 species
UGGAAGAUUCGAACCUGCCGCAGGUUCGGGUCGAACGCAGUGAGACAACGGAGCCGUUUACGGCGACGGCCCGUAGGGCGAGCGAAGCGAGUCAUCCUGCACGACCCACCA